ACUAGAAACUAUAAAUACUAAAAAAUAUAACUAUAAACAUAGAAUAUAACUAUAAACAAUAAACAGCAGGGGGUUGAGGAGACAAUGAAUAAAUAGACCAUAAAGGUGCAUCAGUGAAGUUCAACAGAUAAGGUAUUAGUAUUAGAAGGUAUUGAUUUAAAGUGACAUAUGCAAUACGUGCAAUAAACAAUAAAAUGGCAGGUGGCUGGAGCAACCCAUAGAUCAGUAUUAUCAGUAUCUAUAUUGUCAAUACAUGGGAGGUGGAGUGAGUCCAGUGUUACAGAUAUGAGGAGAUAAAGGAGCAGGUUGAUCCAGAUGUUCAGAACCCAGAGGUCAACGAAGGAUCAGUUCUGUCUCCGUCUCCAUCCUGGACUGACAGACUGGACCAGUCCUCCUCAGAAACCCCCAACCCGGUCUGUGUCCUAUCUGAGUGGUUUUACCUCCGGCUGUCGUCCAGAACCACCAGAAUACGACCCCAUUAGAGACGUUAAACCAGAACCAGAACGACUACAGAGAGACCCCGACCCUGACGACUGGCCUCAGAGCAGGACGACGAUGGAACAGACUCUUCUCUACUCGUUUGUUUUCAUUUCCAGCCGUGCAGAUGAUCAGGUGCAUUAGCGUAAAACUGUGUGUAAAGGGUCCCAUUCAGUGUAUCUGGUCUGUACACUGUAGGACUGACAGGAUGAAUGUAAAUGCACUCUGGUUCCUGUUCGUACUGAAUGUAUCAUCAGGAGGAGACAUGUUUCUCAAAUGCAUACGAAGAACUUCCAAGUGAAGACACAAAGGAUGCUGGGAAACCAGACGGAUCUGCCUUUUUCCUCAAAUCUACGCACACAGUCUUUUUGUUGUCCUUGUUUCAGCUUUUUAGGAGUGAAGGUUUUGCUGCUGCUCAGAGACAGAAGCUUGAUGUGCUACAGUAAGUGCCAUUAAAACAGACUGUAGCUUUUCUGUUUCAUGGAUUAGAAAUAAAAUCAGUUUAUUCAGCUUAGAGACGCACCGAUCCGAUCCAAUAUCAGAUUGGAUUAUUCUGUUUACGUCUCCGCUCGUACAACAUGUUAACUUAGAUUCAGUUUUCUGUAUUUGUCAUUUAAACAUUACACCUUAGAUUGUCUGCAAAAAACAAAUUACUUUACAAUAGUUGCAACAAAACACAAAGAUAAAACAGGAUAAAAUACUCAGUGAAAAAAAAAAAUCAUAAAUGCGCAUAAUAAAAUCUGUGAUGAAAACUAUGCAAGUUCGAUGUCACAUUUUAUGUCGAUAUAUUGCAUUGAGUUUGGUACAAUUAUUGUACAAAUAAUGAAUAGUUCAGGUUGGAAUCACCAUUGCAGUGUGGCUCAGAUCCACUCAGUAUAAUGAACCGAUUUAUCACUGACUAGUAAAUUCAUCAGUAACUAUUUAAAUAAGCGAAAAACAACCAAAUUCUCUGAUUCAAACAUCUUCAACUCACCGUAUUUCAGAUCCUUCCAUUGGAUAAUUACUGCAGUGAUUAAUAUAUUUCAGUUAUUUAAGCCUUUAACUGAUGCAGUGAGGAGCUUCUCAUUUGUUAACAUUUAAUGUCUUCAUUCCCACUGGAUCCAGUCACUAUUUUGUAUUAAACACAUUAAAGUUUCUUCGAUAAAACUUUUGUCAAUGUAGACACGUUAUACCUUAUUAGAAAGCUUAGAAUUAUUUAUUAACGGACACACAAGUUGGAGAAAUUUACGUUCAGUACAGCAUAUUACAGCUCACAUUAUCUGUAAACAAAACACUGAAAAACAAAAAAAACAACACUACAUCAGGACAAAUAUAGUCUGGUUUAGUGUCCUUUGAGAUCUGGUGGUGCAGUACCUGUAGCGUCCUUCAGGGGGCGUCAGAGUGUAUUAUAUGUAAGUUUCAGGGUCGUCCAAUAAAGGGGGGGUUUUAUUGGUCACCUGGUGUGAAAGGUGUCUUGUCAGAGUUGUAAGUUUUUGAACAUUAGUUUGUUAAACCAACUCCGUUCAUUAUUUUUCCCAUUUUAAAAAAAAAGGUUUUUUCAUGCAGUAGUAGCUGAAUGUCUUUAUCAAACUUCGACUUGUUGCUGUGUAUUUCCACUGAUACAUAUAUCGUUAGCCUUAUUGCAUAAUUAUCAUGAUUAAAUCAUAUUUUUAACCAAAUUGUGGUAUCUGCAUAAAAUGAGGCAGCAGUGUAAGGAGAAUGAAGCUAUACAGCACAGGUGUCAAACAUUGGCUAAAAAUGUAUGACUAGCAAUUAUGCUACGAGGCUACCGAUAUUUACACAGUGUCCGUAAACGCAUCCUGACCGUGCGCGCGUGCAGUUAAUCAGUGUUAAUCAGAGCAUUAGAAACAGCUUUUCACAGUCAAAGUACAAAUAUUUUACAAUUUUUGGAUUUUACUGCAUGAUUUAAGUUUCUGUCAGCAUUUCGGAACGAAUGACCCAACGAAAAACACCGGUAAGAACCGAUACAACCUUAAAAAUGAAGUGUCAUUGAUUAGUUUUGCCCGCGUGCUUCUUCAGUUAUGUUUUGGAUUUGAUAAAAAGGAGAAAAUUAACACAAAAUAAAAAUGAAGGAACAGGAUAAAGACCUAAACAGCCACCAACGACCAACAGCAUCUACUGAAAUAAAACGUUUAGUAACUGUUGAACUGCUAAUCCUAUCGGUACAUGUAAAUAAUUAGUGUAAAAUACAGUUUUGUCGUGUUUUCAUGGUCAUCAGAUAUGAGCCUCUGAACCUGCAAAUGGG